GGCUCAGAUUGAACGCUGGCGGCAUGCUUUACACAUGCAAGUCGAACGGCAGCGCGGGGCAACCUGGCGGCGAGUGGCGAACGGGUGAGUAAUAUAUCGGAACGUACCCAGAAGUGGGGGAUAACGUAGCGAAAGUUACGCUAAUACCGCAUACGAUCUACGGAUGAAAGUGGGGGACCUUCGGGCCUCAUGCUUUUGGAGCGGCCGAUAUCUGAUUAGCUAGUUGGUGAGGUAAAGGCUCACCAAGGCGACGAUCAGUAGCUGGUCUGAGAGGACGACCAGCCACACUGGGACUGAGACACGGCCCAGACUCCUACGGGAGGCAGCAGUGGGGAAUUUUGGACAAUGGGCGCAAGCCUGAUCCAGCAAUGCCGCGUGAGUGAAGAAGGCCUUCGGGUUGUAAAGCUCUUUUGUCAGGGAAGAAACGGCUCCAGCUAAUAUCUGGGGCUAAUGACGGUACCUGAAGAAUAAGCACCGGCUAACUACGUGCCAGCAGCCGCGGUAAUACGUAGGGUGCAAGCGUUAAUCGGAAUUACUGGGCGUAAAGCGUGCGCAGGCGGUUUUGUAAGUCUGUCGUGAAAGCCCCGGGCUUAACCUGGGAAUUGCGAUGGAGACUGCAAGGCUUGAAUCUGGCAGAGGGGGGUAGAAUUCCACGUGUAGCAGUGAAAUGCGUAGAGAUGUGGAGGAACACCGAUGGCGAAGGCAGCCCCCUGGGUCAAGAUUGACGCUCAUGCACGAAAGCGUGGGGAGCAAACAGGAUUAGAUACCUGGUAGUCCACGCCCUAAACGAUGUCUACUAGUUGUCGGGUCUUAAUUGACUUGGUAACGCAGCUAACGCGUGAAGUAGACCGCCUGGGGAGUACGGUCGCAAGAUUAAAACUCAAAGGAAUUGACGGGGACCCGCACAAGCGGUGGAUGAUGUGGAUUAAUUCGAUGCAACGCGAAAAACCUUACCUACCCUUGACAUGUCAGGAACCUCCGAGAGAUUGGAGGGUGCCCGAAAGGGAGCCUGAACACAGGUGCUGCAUGGCUGUCGUCAGCUCGUGUCGUGAGAUGUUGGGUUAAGUCCCGCAACGAGCGCAACCCUUGUCAUUAGUUGCUACGAAAGGGCACUCUAAUGAGACUGCCGGUGACAAACCGGAGGAAGGUGGGGAUGACGUCAAGUCCUCAUGGCCCUUAUGGGUAGGGCUUCACACGUCAUACAAUGGUACAUACAGAGGGCCGCCAACCCGCGAGGGGGAGCUAAUCCCAGAAAGUGUAUCGUAGUCCGGAUCGCAGUCUGCAACUCGACUGCGUGAAGUUGGAAUCGCUAGUAAUCGCGGAUCAGCAUGCCGCGGUGAAUACGUUCCCGGGUCUUGUACACACCGCCCGUCACACCAUGGGAGCGGGUUUUACCAGAAGUAGGUAGCUUAACCGCAAGGAGGGCGCUUACCACGGUAGGAUU
rnacentral:rRNA from 1 species